CGUAGGGUGCGAGCGUUAAUCGGAAUUACUGGGCGUAAAGCGUGCGCAGGCGGUUUGUUAAGAUAGGCGUGAAAUCCCCGGGCUCAACCUGGGAACUGCGCUUAUGACUGGCAAGCUAGAGUACGGCAGAGGGGGGUGGAAUUCCACGUGUAGCAGUGAAAUGCGUAGAGAUGUGGAGGAACACCGAUGGCGAAGGCAAUCCCCUGGACCUGUACUGACGCUCAUGCACGAAAGCGUGGGGAGCAAACAGGAUUAGAUACCCUGGUAGUCCACGCCCUAAACGAUGUCAACUGGUUGUUGGGUCUUUACUGACUCAGUAAUGAAGCUAACGCGUGAAGUUGACCGCCUGGGGAGUACGGCCGCAAGGUUG
rnacentral:rRNA from 1 species